GUGCCUGGAUUUGGAAAAAUUGUAUAUGGGCUUGACUGGGCUCUUAGCUUGACUGACUUGCAGAGCUAAUCUCAAAUUUGCCGGCAGUUUGUCAGGGUUUUCUCAGGCUAUAAGAGAGCACCAAGGAGAG